rnacentral:rRNA from 1 species
ACUUCGGUUUGGUGAAAGUGGCAGACGGGUGAGUAACGCGUGGGAACCUGCCCUGUGGUAGGGAAUAACCGUGGGAAACUGCGGCUAAUACCCUAUGAGUCCUUCGGGAGAAAGAUUUAUCGCCAUAGGAGGGGCCCGCGUCGGAUUAGGUAGUUGGUGGGGUAACGGCCUACCAAGCCUUCGAUCCGUAGCUGGUCUGAGAGGAUGAUCAGCCACACUGGGACUGAGAUACGGCCCAGACUCCUACGGGAGGCAGCAGUGGGGAAUAUUGGACAAUGGGGGCAACCCUGAUCCAGCAAUGCCGCGUGGAUGAUGAAGGCCUUCGGG